rnacentral:rRNA from 1 species
CGGGAGGCAGCAGUAGGGAAUCUUCCGCAAUGGACGAAAGUCUGACGGAGCAACGCCGCGUGAGUGAUGAAGGUUUUCGGAUCGUAAAACUCUGUUAUUAGGGAAGAACAAACGUGUAAGUAACUGUGCACGUCUUGACGGUACCUAAUCAGAAAGCCACGGCUAACUACGUGCCAGCAGCCGCGGU